GGGAGCUGUAGUUCCGCACGGGCUGGGGAGCCGCCGGAGGCCUGCGGGGAGGCCGAGGGAAGCACGGAACCACCGCGGCUGGAAGAGACCUGUGAGAGCAUCGAGCCCAGCCUCUGUCGGGGGUCUGCACCCCUGCCUGGAAAACAUGAGCACAACACAGCAAAAAUGUGCAUCAUUCAUUCAUGUGCCAUCAGACAAUGCUUGGGAGAGUUACAAAGGAGGGGAGGAAGAAGAAACCACAAUGCUGCAGUGAUUUACAUUAUUUCUACUUUCUUUGCAAGACUCACUUUUAGCUUUAAACUGUAACAAGUAUGUAUUUCAUAGCAGCUUUACCACACUUCAGCUUUAUUGGGUUUUAAUUCACACCCCCUCAUGACCAGGUAAAAUUUGGCAGAGUGUGUCUGUUCUAACACAUACUUUAAUUUUGUUUUGGUAAUAUUUCAUAUACAGAAAUUAUCUGAAAAGCAGGAUCUGCGUUGUGGCCUGUUGCUUACGUCAGGGAUUCUCCUCCACGGUUCAUCCUUAAUGCUUUGUGCUGUCCCAGAAGCUCCUGAGAGCACCACUGCUGGGGAUUGCAAACCAGGAUCAAACCAGGCCCCACACCACCCACUUUUCCUGGAUCCAGCAGGAAGAUCCACAAGCAGUGCUGUGACCAAAGCCAUAACCCAAAGCCAAGGCCAGGCUGAGGCUGGAGAAGUCGCAGGUUUGGUUCUGAGCCACACUGUGCUCACAUUUGGGCCCUGCAGCAAGCACAGGAGCCAGCACAGGGCAGCUCACGUGGAAAUGCAGCUCUAGGCACUAGAACCACCUUGCUGGGCCUUCACUGACAGCACCUGCUAUUCUGCCACAUCCUGAGGCCCACACACAAACCUCAGUGCCCAACUGUGCAGUUUUACCAUGCUACUUUCAGUGCUUUUAGGACCACAAACUUGAACAGAGGCACAUUGCAAUUCUGUAUUCUUGGGAUUUCCUUUUUGCCUGCCUCAGCCUUGAAAAUUCCCAAAUUAAAUACAACAGUUACCCACGAUGAAGCAAGUUCUCUAGAUGACAAGCACUUCAAUUUGCAUUUUUCUUACUUGACUUGCACAUUCAAAAUUUCAUCUUACUUUAUUAUGAGGGUCACUGAAGUUUUAACAUAACAGCACAGCUGUGGCAAUUUACUUCCUUACCAACCAAGUUCACUUUGAUGAUGACUGGGUGCUUAUAGAGCCACUGAAAAAACAUAAAAGGAGAUGUACAAAUAUUGUAAUUAGAGCAAAUAGGAAAAAAACCCCUCAAAUUCCUGAUACGCAGAUCAAUCUAAAAGUCUGAAAUAAGGACAACAUACAAACUGGGAGCACUUUAAAUAUGUUUAUUCAGCAGCUGUUACAACCAACCUCCAAAAAACUGGAGUCCCCUCUGGUUUCUGAACCGUGUCAAGUGAUGAAAAUGGCUCUAGGAUGGAAGCUGGACAGUGCGCUCCUUUCUGAGAUAUAUGUCUAACAGGGAUUAAUCUCUUUGAAAAGGCAAAAUAUAAAUAUAUACACUCUAAAUUCACAACAACAGCUUCAACUCACUACGUUAAUUCAAGUGGGG